AACGAACGCUGGCGGCAUGCCUAACACAUGCAAGUCGAACGAGACCUUCGGGCCUAGUGGCGCACGGGUGCGUAACGCGUGGGAAUUUGCACUUGGGUUAGGAAUAACAGACGGUAACGACUGCUAAUACCGGUUGAUGUAGUAAGGCCAAAGAUUUAUCGCCCAAGGAUGAGCCUGGGUAGGAUUAGCUGGUUGGUGAGGUAAUGGCUCACCAAGGGGACGAUCCUUAGCUGGUCUGAGAGGAUGAUCAGCCACACUGGGACUGAGACACGGCCCAGACUCCGACGGGGGGCAGCAGUGUGGAAUAUUGGGCAAUGGGCGAAAGCCUGAUCCAGCAAUGCCGCGUGAGUGAUGAAGGCCUUAGGGUUGUAAAGCUCUUUUACCCGGGAUGAUAAUGACAGUACCGGGUGAAUAAGCUCCGGCUAACUCCGUG
rnacentral:rRNA from 1 species